rnacentral:lncRNA from 1 species
AAUCCAACUAGGAACCAUGAGGUUGCGGGUUCGAUCCCUGGCCUCGCUCAAUGGGUUAAGGAUCCGGCAUUGCUGUGAGCUGUGGCGUAGGUCGCAGACGCAGCUUGGAUCCUGCGUUGCUGUGGCUCUGGCAUAGGCUGGCAGCUCCAGCUCCGAUUCGACCCCUAGCCUGGGAACCUCCACAUGCCAUGGGUGUGGCCCUAAAAGGCAAAAAAAGAAGUGUUGGGGCGGAAUAUACAAGUAUACACAGACUUACACACACCCACCCACCCAUACACCCCUGGAGUAAGACACAUUUAGGAAAUGUAGGGUGAAAAAUAUACAUAUAUCUACAUAUACGUGUAUAUAUAAACACAUAUAAAUAUGUACAUGUGUGAAUAUACGUCUUUUCCCCUGAUGCUUCCUAAAUGUGUUGUACAUGCAUAUGCAUGCAUAUAUACACACAGGCACAUGUAUGUGUGUAUAUAUUUCCCCAUGCCCACUUUCUAAAUGUAUUGUACAUGCAUAUGUGCACACGUGCAUAAGCAUAUACACACAUGUGCGUGUAUAUAUGUACUAUAAAUGUAUAUUCCCUCCGCCCACUUCCUAAAUGUAUUGUACAUGCAUGUGUAUGUAUCUAUACAUACAUGUGAGUGUGUAUACAUAUAUAUCUCCCCCUUCCCAAGCCUACCUCCUAAACGUGUCACACACCAGGGGUGCCUCACUGUAAUUCAGGCUUUGCAGUAAAUGUGAAGUGUGUCUCUGCCCCAACCCUGCCUGGCGUUUCCUUUCUUGGAGUGUUUAGGACCUUUCUGUUGGAGCUCCCUGGGUUCUGGUCCCUCACAGACACCCCUCCCCACUCCCAGGUACCCCAGGUGCCAGUGUGUGUUUCUUGAGCUGAAAUUCUUAAGCCUGCAGGAUAUACCCUAGCUUGUUGAAACAGAUGUAGCGUGCCUGCUUUAGACUGCUUCACAUAUUUUUGAUAUUAUCCUAAUGGUACUUUAACAAGCUUUCAGGUCCUGGUCAGCCAAGCUCAGGACCAGGAAGAAGUGUUUACUAAACAAUGUGAGAAAAAAAUGUAUCUUAAAUGGAUCUUUGGGGCCUGUAAAUCUAUGAUGGAUUAUUAUUCCUGCUUUUCGUGUGUGUGAUAAUUCCUGUUCUUCCUGAGAAUAUUUCUGUCUUUCCUGAUGUAAGUGUAUGGUUGGUGGACCUUUCCUGGUCCUGUGGCACAGCGUGACCUGAAGUAGAGGGUUGACGAAGUCCAGAGAAGGGCGCUUCCUUUUCUCCCCUUGUCCCUUGUGGGGCAGAAGCAGAAAGAGUGGAUGCAGUGAGAUGCCUUUGGAAGAUGAGCUGUCUGCUUGGGUUCUGGAUGGUCCGCUUGUUGGGGCAGGUGCAGCUCACCCUCUCGUGAGCUGUGUGCAUUGUGGAAAAGUGUGGAUGCAGAUUGUUUAUCUGAGGAGCUGAUUUUAGGUGCUGCUAAGUUUUAAGGGUGUACAAGGCUCAAAACUCUGUUCUGUUAGAAGCUCUGUGUCUCCUGAACACAAGCUUGACUCUCCUUUUUAAAAGGUCAGGAAAGGGGAGCGAGAUGCAGGCAUGUUUUAUUACCUGUACCCUCGAGCACAGGCAUGUUUUAUUUGCUGUUGCAUCUCAGGGCCCGACUAGUCCUCGGCUCGAUGGGCGCCCCAGAGCCUCAGCUGGAAGUCAGAGUUUCCAAGCUGUAAAUGUAGGAGUGGAGCAUCGUAAGGCAGUGUCCGCUUGAGACAGACAAGGCUUCACAGCAUGGGCCAUUUCGCUUUUCAGAGUGAAGCUGUGUUUCUCUGAGAUCCUAAGCCCAAAUGGUGAUUUCCUGUUUUAGAGUUGCCAGUUUAUCUUUUGGAAGAGCUUGCAGCAGGUGUGGUUAAUAGGUGAGGGAUUCCCAAUUUGGGGUCUUUGAAGUAGUAGUGUUUGCAGAAGCUGGGUGGAAAUUACUUAUUGAUCUGACAUCAGGCUGCCUGGGCUCUGUGACAGCCAUCUCUACAUUUGGUUGGAGUGACAACGCAAUUAGUGUAAUAACUCAGGACCUGUGGCUUGAGUCUUCUACACCCAAGAGAGAAUAAACUAAGCCACUCCCAGUUUUCCCCUAGGCAUUGAUGGAAACACAGACUCCAGGGUGAGGUGACAAAGAGAUCUGUGCUAGCCGAGGAGUUGGGUGUUGCAGAGAUUCCAGCUGCAGUGGCAGUGGGAAUGCUGAGGGUCUCUUUCUUUGGGGGGCCGGGGAGGGGGUGGGCACAGGAGGAGCAUGGACAAGGACAUAGCACUCGACAUAACAUCAGGAGCUUCUUUUUUUGUUGUUUUUUUUUUUGUUUGUUUUUUGCCUUUUCUAGGACCGCACCCUUGGCAUAUGGAGGUUCCCAGGCUAGGGGUCUAAUCAGAGCUGUAGCCGCUGGCCUACGCCAGAGCCACAGCAACGUGGGAUCCAAGCCGCGUCUGUAACCUACGCCACAGCUCACGGCAACGCCACAUGGUUAACCCACUGAGCAAGGCCAGGGAUCGAACCCCCAACCUCAUGGUUCCUAGUCGGAUUCGUUAACCACUGAGCCACGACGGGAACUCCAGGAGCUUCUUAACAGUCCCAGCUGUUUUGCUUUUUUGGAACUUGUCACAGCCUCACCUUGUCCCCAGGAGAGGCCGUCCAGAAAAAUAGUUGCUAGAAAGAGCUGUUUACAGAGGUAGAGAGAGAAUUGUGGUCCUUUAUGUUUUAAUAAUCGUUCCUUAGAUUUCACGGAGGGCAAAAUGCCCUUCAUAGAUUUUAAUAACAUACUUGGACUCUUAGCUUGCACAUCAGAGACCUUCAGUGUGGCUCUUACUCUCUCCACUGCUGUUAUUUUGUAUCCAUGAACAACAGCUACUUUUCAAGUGUGAAGGUGAAUAUUUUUAUUCAGCCAGGCCUAGGGUUGAGCGGAGUUGCUUUCCUGCAGCCUCCUGGACAAUAUGCAUGUCUUCAGCCCCAGGGUUGGGAAGGAACACCAGGCAAGCCCUUCUGCCCAACGUGGGGCAGGUGUUCGUGGGCUGCGGGGCCGUCUGCCUCUGUAGGACUCUCGGCACUUCCAGGAAAGAGAUUCCUGCAGGAUCUUUUGUGUGGCUGUAGNNNNNNNNNNNNNNNNNNNNNNAAAUACCAGAACCAAAACACACGCGUAAUUAUCAUGUUGGCCCUGUUGCAGUUAACCCCGAUUUUGGCCUCAAUUCUGGAAUGAGUCUGCUGGUGCAGACAAAGCCCCUAUUAGGUAAUGAGUUGUUUAUUCCUUCCCUUCCCUUAGUCAUUUGCUUGGGCAGGCAGCGAGAGUGCUCCUACCUGACCUUGAUUCUUGCUCACCACCUCCCGGGGUGACCAUUUCCUCCUCCAGCAGUUCCCUGCUCUGGGUGGAUGUGCUCGACGGAUUUGGUGUCCCCAUCAGGUGCACCUUCAGCCGGGCUUCACCAAGCACUCUGUGUGCAGCACGCACCGUGCCCCUGUGGUAACAAGCAGCCUUAAGCUUCCUGUGUUCUCUAAGGACGCGGGUGAGGAUGUGGGACCUGCAAAGGCCAGGGGUGGGAGGUGCUGCAGGAGGUGGGCUCUGACUUGAUUUGGCACAGGCUCUCUCCCCUAGCGUCUCUCUCCCCUACUCCUUUCUCCACCGCUUAAUGGAACUAUUCUCUAAAACAACCGAAAUCCUACCUUCUGGGUGAACUAGGUUAUUAGGACCAGCUGGUGGGUCUCAGAGAGCAGUGGUUGUCUCUUUCCCCCGACGACCUGGAAUCUCAGCCCUCUGGCUCUCUAGCCCCAGGAAUGGGAAGCUUUAAAACCCCUGUCUCCUUGGAUGCGUUGAGUCAUCAAAGAAAUGUGAUGCUGAGACGGAGCUGGAGGAGGGAAACGGGUGGCCAGGCUGCGUCAUGCUCGCCUCCCACAUAGGCUCUCCUUUCUUAAUAGGCUUCAGAAAUCUGGGGAUGCACAACUCACUGCCAUGGAGUCAUUCCCCUGGGCACACUGGGAGGAAAGAACAGCAGGCUUUUUCUUCCUUGGGUCCCCAGAGGUGCUGCAAAUGUGCCUGCGAACAGUGAUCAGUCUGUCAUUACUGGUCUUUGCUGCCCAUGGAACCAAUACAGGGGCAGAGGGCAGUGCUGUAAAGGUUCCUGGGGCUCUGCCAGGCUGAGUCACAGCUGAUGUAGAGAAAUACUGCCCGGACGCCCUCAGCUCCCUCGCUCCUCACUACCCUGGUCUCAGUGGCCCUCUGCAACUGUACAAUCUGAGGAUGAAUCAGAGUCGGGGAAAGUGUGCAGGAGAGGCUCGCUGGGGAUGAUGUGUGGGGGCUGCAGAACCAUGCUGCCUGUUAGAGCCACACCUGUUCUGCUGGGCCUUCCUCCCUGGAGGCGUGUGGCAUCCUCUCCUGAUGCCAGAGGUCUCGGAGAACAAGGGUCUCUGUGUGGGCAGAUCCAUUCUGCCAACUUUGCCAGGCUCUGUCUCCCGUUGGGCACUGGCACAGACACAUCUUUGCCUUUUCUCAGCGCCGAGUGUGGUGGUGGGUGGGGCAAGCAAGGCUGGCUGGUGGGAAGCAGGUGGCCUCUGCCAUCCACCCCUUUCAGAGCCUGACGUGUCACCUGAGGAGCUUUGAACAAACAGGUCCCCAGGCCCCGUUCUUCCAGAUCCACUGAAUCAGAACCUCCAUGAGGGGUGGGGAAUCUGGACUUCAGACACGGUCCAGGGCUUGUUGAAGAGCAGCUGGACGCCACCACUGCAUGGGCUCAGACUGGCCUUGGACAUCCUCCCAUCAGGACAAGACCCUGAGUGCCAGGCCUCCUGGGCCUCUCCUCACAGGGUGUCUCAUUCAUUCUGAAAUGCCCAUUUCUCCUUCGUUUUAACGUCUCUGAAAUCAGGAUGCAUCUGAUGAUGGUGUUUCACGGUGUCUUGGAUGACACUUUUCUUUGUCUUCCUAAAUAUUAGGGGAAGUUAGUGGCUCGCUCUGCAGCUGACAAGUCUUGGAUCCGAUGACUACAUAGCUUUGCCUGAGCUCUUUGGGGCUGUGUUCUGUCCCAUUCACUUCAUUCUCGUGGUGGCCGGCGUGGAGGAAGGGUGAGGGGGUGCAGAUACGCACUGCGAAAGUGCGGGCUUCUGUGGGUGUCACUGCACUGGGGCUUUAUGGGGCUGACCUCUAUGGUGUCCGCUUUGGGGUUCGUGUCCCAGUGGCCUGUAAGGAUGGACAACUAGUAAGGACAGAGGACCUGGCUCCGUCUGACCCAGACACAGUGCCCUGUUGCCUGUCAGCACACACACUUCAUCUUUUCAGCCUCUGCCACUCACCUUCCUUCUUGGCCUUCCUUGCUGCGGUGGCCGUCGUCGCCAGGGCAGGGAGGAUGGUUCACUUCUUUGGGCCACCCUUGGAACCUGGCUCCUCAGAGGCUGGUCUUGUUAUAAUAGUGUAGCAGCUACACAGCUGACCCCGGGAGACUCCGUGAACCAGGGCCAGUUGUGAGCUGCAAGAUGGCCUGUGUCUUGGACUUUGAGUGAUAACAGAGUUCUGUGUUCCCCACAUAAAUACAUCUCUGGGCAGUGACUUUAUCCCUUUGUAUGUGGCUGUGCCUGUGGAGAGGGCAUCCAGGGCCCAGAGAGUUCAGUGUGAGGAGGGGCAGCAGCGAGGGUAUCACAUGGCUCCUGCUUCCAGGUGCCAGAGCAUCCUUGUGGCCUGGGAGGGAGGGUCCCUGGACACCUGAGGCUCUGUGUCCCUGCAGUUUGCUGAAAGCCACGGGUCAUUUUGCCACUGCCUUGGAAACCUACCCACCCCGCCGGGGGCGCUUCAGGGCUUGUGCAUGUGUUCAGCUUUAGUGCCUGUUCACUUUGUUAUACAUCAAAGCCAUGGGAACAGGUUGGUGUAACAGUGAUGCGUGUCAUCAAGCGUUUCCUAUCAGCCACCGUUGCUGUCCUCAGCCCUCACCUGACAAUCACUCUUGCCAGGCACAGUGCCAGGUGCUCAGUCGGCAGGUGGACUGUACAGGCGGGUGUCCUGGGACAGUCCUAACACACUGCCUUCCUUCUCAUAAGUGCUCCAGUUGGAAUGUUGAGUGUGAGGUCACCCUGGUUUUAUGCAUCCUUACAACCUUGCUUGGAAGAGGUGGCUAGACCCGCCCCAGUCUUCAGUGAUAAAGCAGAGGUCCAGCCCUGAGGGACAGGCCAUUGGAGCCCCGAGCCUAGUGCUCAGGGUGGAACAAAAGGAAGCUGGUUCCCGAAACUUGAUGGCAGUACCAGGAAGGCAGGCUCCCUGGCGUUCCCUCUGGGAGGUGACUUCCAUCUGCAGGGUGGGUGCUCUGAGAAUACCAGGUCUUAAACAUGCAGGAGGUGACCAGCGGGGUGGUGGUGAGGAGAGGCCGUGGCUCAGACACCGGUAAAUGCAGGUGGUUGCUUCCUCGCUGUGGGGUGCGGUGGGGACUCCAGCAAGGGGAUGUGAAUCGUCGUUUCUCCUUGCAGACUGGGGGUGCGUGGGGGUUAGGCUGUUGAUUAAAGAAAAGGGAAUUACAGAGCUCUUAACACUUCCAAAUAGGUUUCUGAUGAUUAAAAGCAGUUUACGUUUUGCUGCUAGAGCAGGAAUUUUGGAGGGGGUUGAUGUGAAUAAUUAAAACAAAAAAAAUCUUCCUGGAAGAUGUUCAUUAGACUUGAGACAUUAAAAAUCAGAAUCAGGGAGUUCCUGUCAUGGCUCAGCAGAAACGAAUCCGACUAGUGUCCAUGAGGAUGCAGGUUCGAUCCCUGGCCUCGCUCAGUGGGUUAAGGGUCCAGUGUUGCGAUGAGCUGUGGUGUGGGUUGCAGAUGUGGCUCAGAUCUGGCAUUGCUAUGGCUGUGGUUAGGCCGGCAGCUGUAGCUCUGAUUUGACCCCUAACCUGGAACCUCCAUAUGCCGUGGAUGCAGCCC